rnacentral:rRNA from 1 species
UAUGAUCAAGUGAAUAAGCGUAUGUGGUGGAUGCCUUGGCGGUAGGAGGCGAUGAAGGACGUGUAAAUCUGCGAUAAGCUGUGGUUAGCUGAUACAAAAGCGCUUAACCCACAGAUUUCCGAAUGGGGAAACCCGAUCUUUAAAGAUCAUCAUUUGGCUGUAAGGCCUUGUGAAGCGAACCCGGAGAACUGAAAUAUCUAAGUACCCGGAGGAAAAGAAAUCAACCGAGAUUCCGCAAGUAGCGACGAGCGAACGCGGACUAGCCCAAAAGUCUCAUAGUUUUUAGUCAAAUGGCGUGGGAAAGCCAACCGAAGAAGGUGAUAGUCCUGUAGACGAAAGAAAUUAUGAGAUGAAUGUGAGUAGGGCGGGGCACGAGAAACCCUGUCUGAAUAUAGGUGGACCAUCAUCUAAGGCUAAAUACUCCCUACCGACCGAUAGUGAACCAGUACCGUGAGGGAAAGGCGAAAAGAACCCCUGUGAGGGGAGUGAAAUAGACCCUGAAACCGCAUACGUACAAGCAGUCAGAGCCUCUUAUGGGGUGAUGGCGUACCUUUUGUAUAAUGGGUCAGCGACUUAAUUUCAGUAGCAAGCUUAAGCGAGUAGUGUAGGCGAAGGGAAACCGAGUCUUAAUAGGGCGCAUAGUUGCUGGGAUUAGACCCGAAACCGAGCGAUCUAUCCAUGGCCAGGUUGAAGGUCGGGUAAAACCGACUGGAGGACCGAACCCACGUAUGUUGAAAAAUGCGGGGAUGAGCUGUGGAUUGGAGUGAAAGGCUAAACAAGCUCGGAGAUAGCUGGUUCUCCCCGAAAACUAUUUAGGUAGUGCCUCAUGUAUCACUUGCGGGGGUAGAGCACUGUUAUGGCUAGGGGGUCACACCGACCUACCGUCCCAUGGCAAACUCCGAAUACCGCAAAGUGCAAUCAUGGGAGACAGACUAUGGGUGCUAACGUCCAUAGUCAAGAGGGCAACAACCCAGACCGCCAGCUAAGGUCCCAAAAUCACCACUCAGUGGGAAACGAAGUGGAAAGGCCCAGACAGCCAGGAGGUUGGCUUAGAAGCAGCCAUCCUUUAAAGAAAGCGUAAUAGCUCACUGGUCGAGUCGGUCUGCGCGGAAGAUUUACCGGGGCUAAGUGGUGUACCGAAGCUGCGGAUGCUAAUUUAUUAGCAUGGUAGGGGAGCGUUCUGUAAGCCUGUGAAGGUGAACUGAGAAGUUUGCUGGAGGUAUCAGAAGUGCGAAUGCUGACAUGAGUAACGAUAAAGGGGGUGAAAAACCCCCUCGCCGGAAGUCCAAGGUUUCCUCGUGCAACGUUAAUCGGCACAGGGUGAGUCGGCCCCUAAGGCGAGGCAGAAAUGCGUAGUCGAUGGGAAACAGGUUAAUAUUCCUGUACUUUUAUAUACUGCGAUGGAGUGACGGAGAAGGCUAGGUCAUCCGGGUGAUGGUUAUCCCGGUCCAAGCGUUUAGGCAGUGAACUUAGGUAAAUCCGGGUUCAUAAUGCUGAGGCGUGAUGGGGAGUUCAAUUGCGAACGAAGUGAUCGAUGCCAUGCUUCCAGGAAAACCUUCUAAGCAUAGGUAUAUGAGAACCGUACUGUAAACCAACACAGGUGGACAAGAUGAGAAUUCUAAGGCGCUUGAGAGAACUCGGGUGAAGGAACUAGGCAAAAUGGUACCGUAACUUCGGGAGAAGGUACGCCCCUACAGGUUCAGAGCUAGUGGGGGCCGCAGAGACCAGGUGGCUGCGACUGUUUAUCAAAAACAUAGCACUAUGCAAACACGAAAGUGGACGUAUAUGGUGUGACGCCUGCCCGGUGCCGGAAGGUUAAUUGAUGGGGUUAUCUUCGGAGAAGCUCUUGAUCGAAGCCCCGGUAAACGGCGGCCGUAACUAUAACGGUCCUAAGGUAGCGAAAUUCCUUGUCGGGUAAGUUCCGACCUGCACGAAUGGCGUAACGACGGCCACACUGUCUCCACCCGAGACUCAGUGAAAUUGAAAUAGCUGUUAAGAUGCAGUUUACCCGCGGCUAGACGGAAAGACCCCGUGAACCUUUACUAUAGCUUCACAGUGGACUUUGAUUAGAUAUGUGUAGGAUAGGUGGGAGACUUUGAAGCGUGUGCGCUAGCAUGCGUGGAGUCGUCCUUGAAAUACCACCCUUGUGUAAUUGGAGUUCUAACCUAGAUCAGUCAACCUGAUCAGGGACAUUGUGUGGUGGGUAGUUUGACUGGGGCGGUCUCCUCCUAAAGAGUAACGGAGGAGCACGAAGGUGCGCUAAGUACGGUCGGACAUCGUACGGUUAGUGUAAAGGCAAAAGCGCGCUUGACUGCGAGACUGACAAGUCGAGCAGGUACGAAAGUAGGUCUUAGUGAUCCGGUGGUUCUGUAUGGAAGGGCCAUCGCUCAACGGAUAAAAGGUACUCCGGGGAUAACAGGCUGAUACCGCCCAAGAGUUCAUAUCGACGGCGGUGUUUGGCACCUCGAUGUCGGCUCAUCUCAUCCUGGGGCUGAAGCCGGUCCCAAGGGUAUGGCUGUUCGCCAUUUAAAGAGGUACGCGAGCUGGGUUCAGAACGUCGUGAGACAGUUCGGUCCCUAUCUGCCGUGGGCGUUUGAGAUUUGAGGAAAGCUGCUCCUAGUACGAGAGGACCGGAGUGGACGAACCUCUGGUGUUCGGGUUGUCAUGCCAAUGGCAUUGCCCGGUAGCUAUGUUCGGACGAGAUAACCGCUGAAAGCAUCUAAGCGGGAAGCUUCUUCCAAGAUGAGAUCUCACUUUGUUCUUGAAACAACUGAAGGGCCCUUGAAGACUACAAGGUUGAUAGGCUGGGUGUGGAAGUGCAGUAAUGUAUGAAGCUAACCAGUACUAAUUGCCCGUGAGGCUUGAUCAUA